rnacentral:rRNA from 1 species
UGGGGAAUUUUGGACAAUGGGCGAAAGCCUGAUCCAGCAAUGCCGCGUGUGUGAAGAAGGCCUUCGGGUUGUAAAGCACUUUUGUCCGGAAAGAAAUCCUUGGCUCUAAUACAGUCGGGGGAUGACGGUACCGGAAGAAUAAGCACCGGCUAACUACGUGCCAGCAGCCGCGGUAAUACGUAGGGUGCAAGCGUUAAUCGGAAUUACUGGGCGUAAAGCGUGCGCAGGCGGUUUGCUAAGACCGAUGUGAAAUCCCCGGGCGUCAACCUGGGAACUGCAUUGGUGACUGGCAGGCUAGAGUAUGGCAGAGGGGGUAGAAUUCCACGUGUAGCAGUGAAAUGCGUAGAGAUGUGGAGGAAUACCGAUGGCGAAGGCAGCCCCCUGGCAAGUACUGACGCUCAUGCACGAAAAGCGUGGGGAGCAAAACAGGAUUAGAUACCCUGGUAGUCCACGCCCUAAAACGAUGUCAACUAGUUGUUGGGGAUUCAUUUCCUUAGUAACGUAGCUAACGCGUGAAGUUGACCGCCUGGGGAGUACGGUCGCAAGAUUAAAACUCAAAGAAUUGACGGGGGUCAUAGCUGUUUCCU